rnacentral:rRNA from 1 species
GAUGAACGCUGGCUGCGUGCCUAAUACAUGCAAGUCGAGCGAACGGACGAGAAGCUUGCUUCUCUGAUGUUAGCGGCGGACGGGUGAGUAACACGUGGAUAACCUACCUAUAAGACUGGGAUAACUUCGGGAAACCGGAGCUAAUACCGGAUAAUAUUUUGAACCGCAUGGUUCAAAAGUGAAAGACGGUCUUGCUGUCACUUAUAGAUGGAUCCGCGCUGCAUUAGCUAGUUGGUAAGGUAACGGCUUACCAAGGCAACGAUGCAUAGCCGACCUGAGAGGGUGAUCGGCCACACUGGAACUGAGACACGGUCCAGACUCCUACGGGAGGCAGCAGUAGGGAAUCUUCCGCAAUGGGCGAAAGCCUGACGGAGCAACGCCGCGUGAGUGAUGAAGGUCUUCGGAUCGUAAAACUCUGUUAUUAGGGAAGAACAUAUGUGUAAGUAACUGUGCACAUCUUGACGGUACCUAAUCAGAAAGCCACGGCUAACUACGUGCCAGCAGCCGCGGUAAUACGUAGGUGGCAAGCGUUAUCCGGAAUUAUUGGGCGUAGAGCGCGCGUAGGCGGUUUUUUAAGUCUGAUGUGAAAGCCCACGGCUCAACCGUGGAGGGUCAUUGGAAACUGGAAAACUUGAGUGCAGAAGAGGAAAGUGGAAUUCCAUGUGUAGCGGUGAAAUGCGCAGAGAUAUGGAGGAACACCAGUGGCGAAGGCGACUUUCUGGUCUGUAACUGACGCUGAUGUGCGAAAGCGUGGGGAUCAAACAGGAUUAGAUACCCUGGUAGUCCACGCCGUAAACGAUGAGUGCUAAGUGUUAGGGGGUUUCCGCCCCUUAGUGCUGCAGCUAACGCAUUAAGCACUCCGCCUGGGAGUACGACCGCAAGGUUGAAACUCAAAGGAAUUGACGGGGACCCGCACAAGCGGUGGAGCAUGUGGUUUAAUUCGAAGCAACGCGAAGAACCUUACCAAAUCUUGACAUCCUUUGACAACUCUAGAGAUAGAGCUUUCCCCUUCGGGGGACAAAGUGACAGGUGGUGCAUGGUUGUCGUCAGCUCGUGUCGUGAGAUGUUGGGUUAAGUCCCGCAACGAGCGCAACCCUUAAGCUUAGUUGCCAUCAUUAAGUUGGGCACUCUAAGUUGACUGCCGGUGACAAACCGGAGGAAGGUGGGGAUGACGUCAAAUCAUCAUGCCCCUUAUGAUUUGGGCUACACACGUGCUACAAUGGACAAUACAAAGGGCAGCGAAACCGCGAGGUCAAGCAAAUCCCAUAAAGUUGUUCUCAGUUCGGAUUGUAGUCUGCAACUCGACUACAUGAAGCUGGAAUCGCUAGUAAUCGUAGAUCAGCAUGCUACGGUGAAUACGUUCCCGGGUCU